rnacentral:rRNA from 1 species
UGGGGAAUAUUGCGCAAUGGGCGAAAGCCUGACGCAGCAACGCCGCGUGAGUGAUGAAGGCCUUCGGGUCGUAAAGCUCUGUCGGGGGGAACGAAUGCUCCUGAAGUUAACAGCCUCAGGAGGUGACGGUACCCUCAAAGGAAGCACCGGCUAACUCUGUGCCAGCAGCCGCGGUAAUACAGAGGGUGCAAGCGUUGUUCGGAAUCAUUGGGCGUAAAGGGCGUGUAGGCGGUAUGUUAAGUCAUGUGUGAAAUCCCUCGGCUCAACCGGGGAACGACGCAUGAAACUGGCAAGCUAGAGUACCAAAGAGGGUGGUGGAAUUCCAGGUGUAGCAGUGAAAUGCGUAGAGAUCUGGAGGAACACCGAUGGCGAAGGCAGCCCCCUGGGCUAACACUGACGCUCAUGCACGAAAGCGUGGGGAGCAAACAGGAUUAGAUACCCGUGUAGUCCCUGAGCGGGCUGGCAAGGCGCAU